rnacentral:lncRNA from 1 species
AGUAAGUAUUAAUUCGAUUUUUGGAAUUCAAGUUGUUGUUGAUGUUGAUGAUCAUCAUCAUCUAUUCAAAAACCCUAACAAAUGAAUUACAAAUUGAUGUUGUGAUAGUGAUUCUUUAGGUUUUCUUAUUUAAUUUGCUAAACCCUAAAUCACACUGUGCGUUCUGUUGAUGAUCAUCAAUUCAAGUUGUUGUUGUUGUUGAUAUUAAUUUUACCAAUAUUAUUUGUAUGAUUUAUCAAUUACUACCGUAUAUCUUUAGUAGAAAUCGCUUUAGUAUUAUUGUCCUGAAUUUUGAUGAAUAUAUAAAGACUAUAGUAAUUGGGAUUCAGUUAUAGCAAAUCACCAUCACAAACAAACCCCUAACCAUUUAGAUAAACCUUACUUACAAACUUCUCUUACACUUUCUUUGUUUUGGUAUGAUCUCUAAUUCUACUACCCUUUAAAACAAGCAAUCCUUAAUCCUAGGUAUACAUAUAAAUAAAUAAAAGAUAUGUUGCUUCGUUUCCUCAGUUUUGUUUAUUUCCUGGUAAGUAAUAUAUUUUCAACGGAAUUAGUGUGUAAAAUAUGAUGGAUAAGGGCAUCCCUAAUGGACCAUCAAAUCUGGUAUCAAACUCAAAUUUGGUAAAAAAACAACAAAACUCAUCUCUAAUGGACCAUCAAAUUUGAGUUGGUAGCAAAUUUUUAUCAAAUUUUCACCAAAUUUGGUGAAAAUUUGGUGUUUUUGGAGAAAUUUGAUACCACACUUGAGCGGGCAAGAGCGAACCGCUCAAAUUAAGUGGCUCAUGAACACCCGCUUUGGGCGGUCCUUCAUUACCCGCUCAAGUCUAGGCGGUUCUUCAUUGCCCGCUCAAGUUCAACCGUUACAUUGAGCGGCCCCCCAUUGCCCGCUCAAAUUAUAACAUAUUAGUUUGAUUGCAAUUAGUGAACAAAGUAGUUGGGAUUCAUCAGAACAAGAGAACAAAACUUUUUGAUGAAGAUAAAGUUGGGAUUUUUAGCAAUAUCAAAAUUUAAUUACAAAGCAAUACCAAAGAAGUUGAAAAAAAUAAGAUUUUUUAGCAACAACUCAAAAUUUAACAAUUUCAAAGUGCAACAAUAAAGAAUUUUGCAUUUACAUUACUCAAACUUUGUCAAAUCUAUUCUCAAAUUUGUCGAAUUGGUUCUUAAUCCCAUCUUCUAAAACUAAGAAAAAUAAGAAAAAAAAAAAAAAAAGAACAAAGGAAUCAUAGGAGAUUACCUCAGAACAAUGGGUUGAUUCACCAGUUGAUUCUUCAUCACAAUCCAUUAGAAUAAACUAGGGCUUUGGAAGAAGAAGAAGAAGAGGAGAUCAGUGAACAGAGAAACGUGAUUUUUUUCACUAAGAAUAUGGGCGGCCCUUGUUUGCCCGCCCCAUAACAUGCAAGUGGGUGUUAAAAGCCUGCCCCAAAGGAGCGGGUGUUAAAAGCCCGCUUAACCAAAACGGUUCUCUGUUGCCCGCUCAAGUUUGGUAAACCAUUAGAGAAAACGAUUUUUGGUAGCAAAUAAAACACAAAAUGGGUAUCAAAUGUGCUUAGGUGGACCACCAAAACAAAAAAACCAUUAGGGAUGCCCUAAGCUUAAACAUCUGGGUCUAUUUGCUCAAAUUUUAGACAAAGUGCCAUUUGGGAUCAUUACUCAACGCCUAUGCUGUCAGAGGCGCCGCCUCAGCGCCGCUCAGCGCCGCCUAGGCGCUAAUUUCACACAGGUACGCCUCGCUCUACAGAAACUACCGCUUAAAACGCACUGGGCCGCUUGGGCGGCGCUCAGGCCCAGCGCUCAGAGAGAAGCGGCCCAAAAAAUGCGUUUUGGAGCGGCCCAACACUUAAAAGCCCAAAAAAAAAAACAACAAAAAGGGGAAAAUCAGACUUCUUCUUCGAUCUAGAUCUAGCGAUCUAGAUCUAGCGACUGGUGGUUUCUUCUUCUUCUUCUUCUUCUUCUUCUUCUUCAUCUCUCUCUGUUUGUUCUUCUGUCUACAGUGUAUUCAACAAAUACAUCAGUCUUACUUCGAAAAUACUAAACUACCCUUAGUCUCUUAAAAAGUUAAAGGCACUUAGGCACAUGACUCUCAAUUAUCUUCUCACUUUCUCAGUUGGGGGCGCCGUCUAAGCUCCGCCUAAGCGCUAGGGGCGCUAGUUAUUUUUCUUGGCGCCUAGCGCUUCGCCCCGCCUCUGACAGCAUAGCUCAACGCAAUGGGCACCACACAAGAAUGGGGUCCCUUUCCCUUCUUGGAGUACCCAUAUUAAUUAGUCAAGUUUUGGAGUAAAUUAAUUAGUCUUACUAUACUUUAUUGUAUUAGUCUUACUAUACUUUAUUGUGUGCCUGGAAGUCUUAAAGACCUUCUUAUGUAUUCUAUUUUUUUUUCUUGGUUUGGAUGUUAUAAAAAUAAAACUAAAGACUAUAUCUUUAUGUUAUUCAAUUCAAGUUGUUGUUGUUGAUGUUGAUGAUCAUCAUAAUCUAUUCAAAAACCCUAACAAAUGAAUUACAAAUUGAUGUUGUGAUAGUGAUUCUUUAAGUUUUCUUAUUUCACACUGUGUGUUCUGUUGAUCAUCAAUUCAAGUUGUUGUUGUUGUUGUUGUCUUUUUUUUUUUUUUUUUUUUUUGUAAUUAUAGUGAUAAAGAAACAAGAAGAGAAGAGAAUAGUAUCGUCUCUGCCAAACAUAGAUGAAUCUUCUGUAUAGAAUCUUCUCUGAUGGAUCUUGCAAUUUAUGUUUGUUUUCAAUUUCUAGG